GUUGUAACAGAUGGAUCGUGACUUAGAUUACGCGAUUAAACAUUUAGCAAGGAAUGGUGUUCUGAUUGACUUCCAUGAUAUGAAGCCGAUUGAGGACCGGCUGAUUGUGACUGAUUUGGGGAAGAAAAAAUACGUUGCUACUCCCGAGAAAGACAGGCAAAUGGGAGACAGAAUUUAUCUUAGUUUGCACUAUGGGCC